CCUCGUUACAAUGCUGGCAACCCCGAAGAUGAAUCAAAGCUUAGCAUCUUUAGAGGGCAACUUGGCAGUGCAAGUGGUGCGACUAACAAGACCUUGCAACAUGAAGAGUGGCGCACUAUUAUGUUGUAUGUCUUGACCAACCUAUCCGAAGUGGAGCCGUACAUGCAGGAAUUCAAUGAGCAAUUCUGGCAUGAAUCAAGGGAACCUACCCUCGAGGAAGCUUCGGCCCUUCUUAGAGAUGGGAACAACCGACGAGUCUAUGAGUGCCGACUUGAGACAAGUUGCUGAUGGUUGUGCCUAUAGGGUCAGGUCAUUUAAGGCUUACGACGUGAAUGGAUAUCGCUUCCACACAGCAAGCCACGAGCAGAGUCGGCCCAAUCGUAGAACAACAAAUACCGGAGUUUUUACUCCAGGCUUAGAUGGGGCUGAGUACUACGAAAGAAUUGAAGAAAUAUACGAACUAAAUUUUGAU